GGUGACACUCUGAUCUUUUGAGUAUUAAUCUUUUUCUGGAUCUUUUCGAAUCAUUCGGAAUCUUCUGAAUCUCGCCAAAUCAUGCACAUAAAAAGUGAAGGAGCUUUCGCUUCAGUGUAUCGGCAACUCCUGUCAAAUCGCGAUAAAACAAAAAUAAAAAUUCGCUGCUGGCGCCUGAAACAGGAACCAAAGAAAAUUAAAUUAAAGAAAUUUUCUUCCAACCGCGGAAAUUGCACAAACGGCCUCGGUGCCGAAUCUUUCUGGAAAAUCACCCUCAUUCUUUUAUGUGCGAACAAGAAGGUUCUGUUCCUUGCUGACUUGGAAUACAGCCUAAACCGGAAAAAAUCUCAGGAAGCCUCAGCUGGAAGCACUACCCUGGCACCGGAUUACGUUUACUUUUCCGAACGAAUGGAAGCGGAAAGCGAAUUCCUGAUGCGAAAUGGUUUCAUCGGACGGUAGUGACGGAAUGUGAUAUCAACAUGGAUCUGGAUGAACGGAACAACUAAUGUUCCUUCCGACCCUGGUUGAGAUACCACGAACAGUAGUGACCAAUGUCAAGCCGGAGAGUUCAUGGACGGAGUCAUCCUCAACAUUUCCAUGACGACAUAUCUGGAGCUAUGGAAGCUUCGUGAGUGCACGGAGAGGCUGUACCCUUUUGACUCCACUGUAACAGGUAGAAACCGAGGACGAUCAGUUGACGUCGGUGGUGAACCGGAGUAUCCAGAUCUGAUAGAUAUCGUACGCAGAAUUCCGAGAGAAGAGGUGAUCAUGAACGUGAAUUGCAAUUGUAAUAUUACGUGAACGUGAAUUGCAAUUAUGUAGUUUUUGCGAUGAUGAGGAGAAAGAGGCGAGGAUGAAGAUCCUGAAAUGUUUUAUCAAUAAACGUAAACUAUUCAACAAUUUG